rnacentral:tRNA from 1 species
GCGAGGGUGAUGGAACCGGCAGACAUGCGAGACUUAGGAUCUCGUGCCUUCGGGCUUGAGGGUUCGAAUCCCUCCCCUCGCACCA